ACGGGUGAGUAACGCGUGGGAAUCUACCCAUCUCUGCGGAAUAGCUCUGGGAAACUGGAAUUAAUACCGCAUACGCCCUACGGGGGAAAGAUUUAUCGGGGAUGGAUGAGCCCGCGUUGGAUUAGCUAGUUGGUGGGGUAAAGGCCUACCAAGGCGACGAUCCAUAGCUGGUCUGAGAGGAUGAUCAGCCACAUUGGGACUGAGACACGGCCCAAACUCCUACGGGAGGCAGCAGUGGGGAAUAUUGGACAAUGGGCGCAAGCCUGAUCCAGCCAUGCCGCGUGAGUGAUGAAGGCCUUAGGGUUGUAAAGCUCUUUCACCGAUGAAGAUAAUGACGGUAGUCGGGGAAGAAGCCCCGGCUAACUUCGUGCCAGCAGCCGCGGUAAUACGAAGGGGGCCAGCGUUGUUCGGAAUUACUGGGCGUAAAGCGCACGUAGGCGGAUAUUUAAGUCAGGGGUGAAAUCCCGCAGCUCAACUGCGGAACUGCCUUUGAUACUGGGUAUCUUGAGUAUGGAAGAGGUAAGUGGAAUUCCGAGUGUAGAGGUGAAAUUCGUAGA
rnacentral:rRNA from 1 species